AUUGAACGCUGGCGGCAUGCCUUACACAUGCAAGUCGAACGGUAACAGGGAGCUUGCUCCGCUGACGAGUGGCGAACGGGUGAGUAAUGUAUCGGAACGUACCUUUUAGUGGGGGAUAACGUAGCGAAAGUUACGCUAAUACCGCAUAUUCUCUGAGGAGGAACGCAGGGGACCUUCGGGCCUUGCGCUAAUAGAGCGGAUGAUAUCAGAUAAGCUAGUUGGUGAGGUAAAGGCUCACAAAGGCGACGAUCUGUAGCGGGUCUGAGAGGAUGAGCCGCCACACUGGAACUGAGACACGGUCCAGACUCCUACGGGAGGCAGCAGUGGGGAAUUUUGGACAAUGGGGGCAACCCUGAUCCAGCCAUGCCGCGUGAGUGAAGAAGGCCUUCGGGUUGUAAAGCUCUUUCGGCCGGGAAAAAAUCGCAUGGGUUAAUACCCUGUGUGGAUGAUGGUACCGGAAUAAGAAGCACCGGCUAACUACGUGCCAGCCGCCGCAGUAAGAC
rnacentral:rRNA from 1 species